CUCACCGUAGUGUAUAACUUUCUCCGACUUUUUAGGACGUGUUUUAUGCCACUUCUUUUUCUGUCUCAUUUUGUCCACCAAACUUUUAACCUUGUGCAUGAAUGCACGAAGACAGAUUUGUUUUUGUAUUUUUGGUCCGAUAUGGCUCCUUCAACAUUUUGGGCUGCCGACCCCUGUACUAGACCACACGUCUGUGGUCAGCGCCAAGAACAUUUGGUGUGUGUUGUCCCCCCACCCCAAAAAAAACC